UACAGAGGGUGCAAGCGUUGUUCGGAAUUAUUGGGCGUAAAGGGAGUGUAGGCGGCUAGGAAAGUCUUCUGUGAAAUCUACGGGCUCAGCCUGUAACGUGCAGAGGAAACUAUCUGGCUAGAGUGUCGGAGAGGAUAGGGGAAUACCCGGUGUAGAGGUGAAAUUCGUAGAGAUCGGGUGGAACACCAGUGGCGAAGGCGCCUGUCUGGCUGACAACUGACGCUGAGACUCGAAAGCAUGGGGAGCAAACAGG
rnacentral:rRNA from 1 species